AACGAACGCUGGCGGCAUGCCUAACACAUGCAAGUCGAACGAGACCUUCGGGUCUAGUGGCGCACGGGUGCGUAACGCGUGGGAACCUGCACUUAGGUUCGGAAUAACUCCCCGAAAGGGGUGCUAAUACCGGAUAAUGUCUUCGGACCAAAGAUUUAUCGCCUUUGGAUGGGCCCGCGUUGGAUUAGCUAGUUGGUAGGGUAAAAGCCUACCAAGGCGACGAUCCAUAGCUGGUCUGAGAGGAUGAUCAGCCACACUGGGACUGAGACACGGCCCAGACUCCUACGCGAGGCAGCAGUGGGGAAUAUUGGACAAUGGGCGAAAGCCUGAUCCAGCAAUGCCGCGUGAGUGAUGAAGGCCUUAGGGUUGUAAAGCUCUUUUACCCGGGAUGAUAAUGACAGUACCGGGAGAAUAAGCUCCGGCUAACUCCGUG
rnacentral:rRNA from 1 species